rnacentral:rRNA from 1 species
AGUGAACGCUGGCGGCGUGCCUAACACAUGCAAGUCGAACGAGUGGCGCACGGGUGAGUAAUAUAUGGCUAACCUGCCCCUUGCUGGAGGACAACAGUGAGAAAUGACUGCUAAUACUCCAUAGGAAUGGAUGAGACUAUAUCGUAUCAGCUAGUCGGUGGGGUAACGGCGUACCGAGGCGAUGACGCGUAACUGGUCUGAGAGGAUGAUCAGGCAAAUGGUAAGUGAGGCACCGGCGGGACUCCUUGGAGAGGGAGCACAAGGGGAUAGUGCGCAGUGGGGGUGUCUGUGACGGAGCCUCGGCGCGUAGAGGAUGACACGUUGGGAGGAGGGCACUCCGUUGAUAGGGACAACGGUACCGAAAGAAUAAGCACCGGCUAACUCCGUGCCAGCAGCCGCGGUAAUAC